UACGGGGGGGGCAAGCGUUGUUCGGAAUUACUGGGCGUAAAGGGCUCGUAGGCGGCCAACUAAGUCAGACGUGAAAUCCCUCGGCUUAACCGGGGAACUGCAUCUGAUACUGGAUGGCUUGAGUUCGGGAGAGGGAUGUGGAAUUCCCGGUGUAGCGGUGAAAUGCGCAGAUAUCGGGAGGAACACCAAUGGCGAAGGCAGCUCGCUGGGACGUUACUGACGCUGAGACGCGAAAGCGUGGGGAGCAAACAGG
rnacentral:rRNA from 1 species